UGGGGAAUAUUGGACAAUGGGCGCAAGCCUGAUCCAGCCAUGCCGCGUGAGUGACGAAGGUCUUCGGAUUGUAAAACUCUUUUGGCGGGGACGAUAAUGACGGUACCCGCAGAAUAAGCCCCGGCUAACUUCGUGCCAGCAGCCGCGGUAAUACGAAGGGGGCUAGCGUUGUUCGGAAUCACUGGGCGUAAAGCGCACGUAGGCGGAUGUGCCAGUCAGGGGUGAAAUCCCGGAGCUCAACUCCGGAACUGCCUCUGAUACAGCACGUCUUGAGUUCGAGAGAGGUGGGUGGAAUUCCUAGUGUAGAGGUGAAAUUCGUAGAUAUUAGGAAGAACACCGGUGGCGAAGGCGGCCCACUGGCUCGAUACUGACGCUGAGGUGCGAAAGCGUGGGGAGCAAACAGGAUUAGAUACCCUCGUAGUCCCUGAGCGGGCUGGCAAGGCGCAU
rnacentral:rRNA from 1 species